GUUUUUUAAGCUGUAAAAGGUUUGUUUGGUUUUGUUAUCCCCAAUGAGCUGAAAUAAAGCCUCGUAGAAAUGUCCUUCAGUUGCAGCGAAGUUCCUUAUCCAGGGCUCCUGAAUUCCACUGGACGUUACAUUGCAAUUGACAUUUGUGUUAAAUGACUUAAUGGUGAUCCUGUUAUUGCAGUAAAUACUAAAUUAAUCAAAGAAUGAACACCUAGAGGCAUCUGGAAAGGUACCUAUCUUUACAAAUCUGUCCCUUAUCGACCAAGAGAUUUACACAUGAUCACAUCCCAGACCUUUCAGCUUACAACUCAAAGAAUGCUGCAGGAGGAGCUGUAUUUGUGGCUGACCUCUCUGCACCCAGAUUCAAGGCCUGAGUAACCCACACAGGGAAAUGUAGGUUGGUGAGUGUUAUUCUCUUACACCCCUAUGCAG
rnacentral:lncRNA from 1 species